rnacentral:tRNA from 4 species
GCGGGAUUAGUUGAUGGGCUCAACGUCAGCUUUCCAAGCUGAAGAAACGGGUUCAAGUCCCGUAUCCCGCUCCA